GCGGCCUAUCAGCUUGUUGGUGGGGUGAUGGCCCACCAAGGCGACGACGGGUAGCCGGCCUGAGAGGGUGACCGGCCACACUGGGACUGAGAUACGGCCCAGACUCCUACGGGAGGCAGCAGUGGGGAAUAUUGCACAAUGGGCGCAAGCCUGAUGCAGCGACGCCGCGUGGGGGAUGACGGCCUUCGGGUUGUAAACCUCUUUCAGUAGGGACGAAGCGCAAGUGACGGUACCUACAGAAGAAGGACCGGCCAACUACGUGCCAGCAGCCGCGGUAAUACGUAGGGUCCGAGCGUUGUCCGGAAUUACUGGGCGUAAAGAGCUCGUAGGUGGUUUGUCGCGUUGUUCGUGAAAACCGGGGGCUUAACCCUCGGCGUGCGGGCGAUACGGGCAGACUGGAGUACUGCAGGGGAGACUGGAAUUCCU
rnacentral:rRNA from 1 species